AUUGAACGCUGGCGGCAGGCCUAACACAUGCAAGUCGAGCGCGUGGCGGACGGGAGAGUAGUGUCGGGGAAACUCCCUUAUGGAGGGGGAUAACUUCUGGAACGGGUAGCUAAUACCGCAUACCAUCAGAUGUGCCCAGAGGGGAUGAGCUUGUUGGUGGGGUAACGGCUCCCCAAGGCGACGAUCCCUAGCUGGUCUGAGAGGAUGACCAGCCACACUGGAACUGAGACACGGUCCAGACUCCUACGGGAGGCAGCAGUGGGGAAUAUUGCACAAUGGGCGCAAGCCGGAUGCAGCCAUGCCGCGUGUAUGAAGAAGGCCUUCGGGUUGUAAAGUACUUUCAGCGGGGAGGCGUUACCCACAGAAGAAGCACCGGCUAACUCCGUGCCAGCAGCCGCGGUAAUUC
rnacentral:rRNA from 1 species